GAGUUUGAUCCUGGCUCAGGGUGAACUGCUGGCGGCGUGCCUAAUGCAUGCAAGUUGAGCUGAUCCUGCUUCGGCGGGGAGCAGCGAACUGGCAUGAGGAACUGCUGUAGGUAACCUACCCUUCGGUGGGGGACAACUCCUGGGAAACCGGUGCUAAUACCGCAUACGACCUCCCGGUUGCGGCCGGGAGAGGAAAGUCGCAAGACGCCGAGGGAGGGGCCUGCGUCCCAUCAGGUAGUUGGUGGGGUAAUGGCCUACCAAGCCGACGACGGGUAGCUGGUCUGAGAGGACGAUCAGCCAGAGGGGGACUGAGACACGGCCCCCACUCCUACGGGAGGCAGCAGCAGGGGAUCUUGGGCAAUGGGCGAAAGCCUGACCCAGCGACGCCGCGUGGGGGAUGAAGGCCUUUGGGUCGUAAACCCCUUUUCCAGGGGACGAUAAUGACGGUACCUUGGGAAUAAGCCCCGGCUAACUACGUGCCAGCAGCCGCGGUAAAACGUAGGGGGCAAGCGUUACCCGGAAUUACUGGGCGUAAAGGGCAUGUAGGCGGCUCGGUCCGUCGUCGGUGAAAGGCCCCGGCUUAACCGGGGAGCCGCUGACGAUACCACCGGGCUAGAGGGCAGCAGAGGUGAGUGGAAUUCCCGGCGUAGCGUUGAUAUGAUAGAGUUCGGGAGGAACACCAGUGGCGAAGGCAGGCUCACUGGGCUGUACCUGACGCUCAGGUGCGAAAGCAGUGGGGAGCAAACAGGAUUAGAUACCCUGGUAGUC
rnacentral:rRNA from 1 species